UUUUAUCGGGGGGACUACGG
rnacentral:rRNA from 1 species